GUUUGAUCCUGGAUUGUGAGAACUGACCAUACUCUUAAUGGCAUUUAAGACACGUCAUUAUGCCACACUGGGAUGAGUUAUUGGUGUACAGGAUAACUCUUCCUGGGACCAAGCUGUUGGUUUAUGUUGGGAAGUUGGGAACUUAGAUGUUGGGAAAUAUACCUACCUGAGAGAAAGAUGUAUUUUUAUAAAUCCUGAAGGGUUAGAAGGGUUAGAAUAUCAUGACUAUUUGUAACAACUCCUGCUGAGUUGUUUCUUUCCUCCUUUAGUGGCUCAUGGGAAGCAUUCGAAAAGUACUUGUGCUUUUUUGCAGAAGUUUUCAGAGAAGGAUUUUUAUUUUAUAUCUGAGUUCCAGGAUGAAAAACUUGUGGAGCCAUAAGUUCCUUCUGAUGAAUCAUGUUUGAGAACUCCCUGUUAGACUCAUUUAUGUAGUCUCUGCUGACCAGGCUUGCUACAGUCUUCUUUUUUCUUUUGGUUUAAUAAUUAUUCUGUUGCACUCACCUAACAUUGUAUAGAUUUUCUCCUCAAGGAAUAGGAAGAGGGCUUUUCUUUUUCUGACUAUAGUAUUGUUUGUUUGGGGUUUUUAAUAUAGUUUUAAGCAGUCACUGUUAAUGUUUGGAGCAGAGUCAAUGCUUACAGUUCAUUCACUAGGGAACACCCAACCUGAUUUUCACUGCUGUCAUUUUUAUUUUUUUUUUAUAUUUUCAUGGAAAGUUGCUGUAAAUAUUUUGGAUGGAUUAUGAAGGAAAAACUAACAAAGAAUAUGGAAGAAAACACACAUCUAUGACAAAUCAAGAGAAAGAAGAGAUAAAAUGAUGGAAAAACAGAGCCUGAACUAUCACAGAUCUCACUUGGAGAGGACUACCAGAUCAAGGAGGCCUAAACUCAACAUUUUUGUCAGCAUCUUGUGCUGACUGCUAAGGCCAUUCUGCUGCAGCUCUCAGCUGGAAGGCUGUGCACCCUACUGAGCAAUAAAGAGGAGGUCAGUGAUACUCUAAAUCAGCCCCUGAAGGUCAGACACAACUUUAGAAUACCUCAGGCAACUGUACCAAGCCUUCCGCCAGCCACUCGCUGCAAAAGGAAUUCAGGUACCUGUGGCUCAUCUGCUACGCAUCAGUGUGUAAUACCACCUGAGAUUUUUGUCCUCACAAAUUGCACCUGUUUUCCAGUUGUGUAUC
rnacentral:lncRNA from 1 species